UUUUAUAUAAAUAUAUUUACCCUUUAAUAUAAUAUAUUUAUUCUAUGAUAUUUAUAAUAGUUACGAUAUUGUAGUUAUAUUGUUAAUAUAUAUAAAAUUGAUUAGAACAUGAAUCGUAUCGCACAUCGUAUGUGCACCUUCCUCUUCACACUGGUCUGUUGACUGAUUGUCUAGCUGAUCCAGCUGUUUUAUCUUUAGUUUCUCCGGCAAAGUUCUUCUCUCAUACCGAGUUUGGGUCGCGUCUUCUUGGGAGGACACUGUUCGUCGUCGCUCUUGUUAUGUUGUUAAACGGCGCAUCACGAGCCCAAAUCUCAAUAUAUUUUAGGACGCUGAAAUUAUAAUGUCACUCAUUAACUUCUAUCAGUGAUUGGCUAACUGCUUCUCUGUCCUCCUCUCCUUCCCUCACUCGGACUCUCAGGUGGUGACACGGAUCUCUGCCUGUCUCACUGUCUCUCUCAGUGGACGUCCGCUCACCAUCUAUAAAUCAACCCCGACAAGACUGAACAACUUCUCUUUCCGAGAAAAGGUUCUCCUACCCAGGACCUGACGGUAAACUUUGGCAACUCCGCGUUAACCCCCACUUUGCUAGGAACCUCAGUCUGACACUUGACACCAUUGCAGCGAGAAUACGAUCCUGUAGAUACUCGCUCUACAACGUCAGGAGAAUACGUCCUCUUCUCACUCAGCCCAGGUACUGAUUCAGGCUCUUGUCAUCUCACGCCUGGACUAUUGUAACUGUCUCCUGACAGGUCUCCCCGCCACCGCCACUCGACCUCUGCAGCUCAUCCAGAAUGCAGCAGCUCGACUGGUCUUAAACCUUCCUAAAAGUCUUGUCUGAGUGUGUGUGAGAGAGUAUGUGUUUGUCUGUUGGUGCAAUUUAGCCUUUAACCCAUUAAUGACUUGUAUCACACACUUUAAAUGUUCCAAGUCACCAAUACUAUUGGGUUAUUGAUGAUGUGAAGUCGUAAUGUUGGUAAGUCAUCACACAGACACACACACAUCAGACAUUUACAGUAGUGGUUGUGGUUGUUAAUGUGGCUUUAACAACAGCAGUAUAGUGUCAGUCUGUCGUGUGUCCCUUUCAAAUACACUAAUAAGGCCAUGAACACCAAACACACACGCUUUAAGAGUGCACUUGUUAUAAACCUCCCCGUUAUAUCACAAGCAUUUACUCACACACAGACACACACGCAUCCAUGAGUGUCAUCAAAGCUGCCUGGCCUUUAGAAUUAGCAGUUACGUCAUAAAUGUCAAUCAUGCAACGUGUAGUGGUCGUCACCAGUGAGCGUCGGUUACUGGAGGAGGGAGUUCUUGUCCCUUCGGCCCCGAAGCAUAUAUCUAUCAGGCUGCCGGCUCCUCUGGGGGCUGUUGAUUGCUCAGAGGAUGUAAAGAGGAAACGUGUCGUUAUGUUCACAGCUGGAGACCAGCCGAGCUACAUAAAGCUGGAUAUUCAUGUUGCUAAACCUUGAUUUUAAUGCUGCACAAUGUACAGUAUAUGUAUGUAUGUAUAUAUAUAUUUAAAUGAUCAAACAUAGGUCAACUUGUGGACCCGUACUAUCUAUAUUUUAGAUACCGCGAUGAAACCAAGUCAACUUUGCAGAGUAAAACUUUUACUCAAAAGUACUAUGGUAGCAAACAAAGCGAAUAAGCUCUCCUCCAAUGAGACCAAACAAACAAAUAAACAGAGCCUUAACACACACACACACACACACACAUAUAUUAAUGCACUCCUGCAGACCACAUGGGACCAAUUAUCACAUUUGCCAUGCUCGGUUUGCCAACCCCCGAUCUCUGCACUGACAGAGGGAGAGAGAGAAACAGUCGUCCCCUCAUUAGCCUGAGAGGGCAGAAUACCUCUUUCUGUGUGUGUGUGUGUGUGUGUGUGUGUUUAUUAAAACUAUAUGUCAUGCCUUCUGUAUUGUGUCCAUGUACUUCACAUUGUCUCUGACAAUGAUGGUGACCGGCAGGGAGCUGUAUGUUUGUUACACGCUCAUAUCAGAGACGUGGACGCUGUAUUUUUACUGUUUGAUUACGUAUUAUGUGGAUAGAUGAAACAGCUAAACUUUCCACAGUUCUAAUAUCCUGCCUGUCCAGUGUGUUUUUAAUCUUGGUCGGUCUCAAUCUAAUAAACCAAGUAUAAUAUUUGAUCCGCUUCUGUCUUGAUCAAUAUUGAAUACACUGAAUAAUUACAUAAAAUAUAAACUUCUGAAGCUUCAUGUCCAUAUUCUCUGUUCAUGUUAACUGACAAUGAACAAGUGGAAUGACAGCUGUGUCUGUGACUCCCUGUGGUGUGUGUGUGUGUGUGUGUGUGUGUGUGUGUGUGUGUGUGUGUGUGUGUGUGUGUGUGUGUGUGUCUGUGUGGGUGUGUGUGUGUGGGUGUGUGUGUGUGGGAGAGGGGAAUAUUUUUCACUUCUCUACUAGCGUGUAUGAGUUUUUGUGUGAACAAAAGCGGACUGCGCGUGUGUGUCAGUGUGUGAGUGUGUUCGGUAGGAGGUGUUUUACUGGAAGAAUCCACCUUCUGUGGCUGAGUCAUCCAGAUGAAGGUGAUGGAAUCUCCUUCACAUCUCUCUGCAAGACAAGUACACACACAGACACGAUCACAGUAGUCUACUGUAUGUCUCCUCAUGAUCCUCCCUUUCAUAUCUUUAUAGUUUUUAUACUUUAUGUUUUUCCAGUGGUGGAACAAAAGAGGUCUUACUGGUCCUUCAACCACAGACGAUGCCUCAUCACUGACAUCUGUUACACUGACACACACACGCUCACGCACAGUGUGCAACAGGGUGGUUAAAUAAUCGCUUACCCGUGACAUCAUCAAAGCUAAAUAGAAGUGCCCCGUUCGCCAAGUCAGUUUGUGUGUGUGUGUGUGUGUGUGUGUGUGAGGUCUGACCCCUGUUAGACCCAGUUAACACAUCUCUUGAUGUGAUGGUCAGCACUCCAUUCGGUAUCUGCUCUAGUCCUUCUGUGUGUCUGUCUGUGUGUGAGUUUGUUUGCGUGUGUGUUUUUGUGCGUGCGCUUGUUGCUCUGAUUGGACCCAACAGGCCGAUACACAGAAUAAGUCGUGCAGUAAGUUGUUUAAAAACCACAAUCGCAAAGCCAGAGACACAAGGUCUCCUCCUAAUAAAUAUAGUGGAUGGAUUCUGAAAUUUGAUCAUCAGGGUAGUUGAAACUAAAGGAGAACAGCAGAGAGAGAGGGUAGAGGAAAGGGAGGGGCUAGACGGGAGGAGGGCCGUCACAACUGGGAUCGGUUUAUUGCGAAGUAUGUUUGCACAUUUACCCUCCCUCUCCUCCUCAAUUCUCCCUCUCCUCUUCCAUUCUCCCUGUCCUCCCGCUACUCCCUCUACCCCUCCAUUCUUCCUUUCUCCUUCAUAUUCCCUCUCCUACUCCCACUCCGCUUCCAUUCUUCCGCUCCUCCUCUAUUCUAUCUCUCCUUCAUAUUCCUUUUCCUCCUCCUCCUCCUCCUCCUCCUCCUCCAUUGUAUCUCCUCUAUACUCCCUUUACCCCCUCUAUACUCCAUUCUCUCCAACUGUCUGACUUUAGUCCGAGUCCAUUUGAAGACAUUGACCAUAGGAUCUCCUUGGCGGCACAGCUAAACACAGAUGUCAUUUCAUCCACGCCUGGUGAGAAAAUGGAUGAUUGUGAAUGUGCAGUGCUAGAUAGGGUCAAUAAUGUCAAUAAUAAAUGACCAUUUUGAUUUGAAAUGACGACAAAUAAAGGGAGAGUAAUUACAAAAUAAUCAUACAUAUGUUCUAUUGGUAUUCCUAGCGAGCGUCUCUAUCACUCUCACGUCAAAUCUUGCUGAAACCACAGCAAAAAUAACUACCAAGCAUUCAAACAUAUAAAUCAUAAAUGGCUCUUACGUUUAACCUUUUUAACAAAAUCAUGAAAUGAAUCUGAAUGUGUCAGUUGGUCAAUUACGUUGUCCACUGAAACAACGCAAAUGAAAAGUUAAUUAGAAUCAUUGGAUACCCAAAUUCUCAGAUUCAACAGAAAUGAUCUAUAAUUAAACUCUGCGACAGGGGCCUGCGGUCUUUUUGGAACAGGACUUUCACCCAGGUGACGGUUGUUCAUGUCCUGUGUGAAAUUAAAAGUCAAUGCUGACUUAUUUUAAACUAUUCAGGUCAAACUGACUAACAAAUAUAUCCGUUUUAGCCCAAACCAUGAUUUUUUUCUUCCCCAAACCUAAACAAAUCCUUCUAAAGUUAAACUUUUUCCUGUGGUAGCAUCUCGUUAUGACACGUGGGGUGUUAAGAGGUCAUUUUACCUUAUAAUAAAUAAUAUACUCCUUUUUACUCGUCUUCACUCAGAAUGAGAAGCCAACUGUAUAGCUCCCGUAUGUUAGCAAGCUUAUUCCUAUUCUUAUCAAUAAUAAGAAUAAUGAAUGUAUCAAUGUAUCAAUGUAGCACCUUUCUAGAUCAAAGUGCUUGAAAAUAUUAAAGCAAUAAGGUACGAGAGGCUGUACUUUAUCGUCCAAUAAUGUAACAGUUCGGGGGUGUUGUUAGGCCCGACGCAGAGCGGAGGGGCAGUAACCCUCGAACAGUUACAUUAUUGAAGAUAAAGUACUGCCUCAAGUGCCUUAUUGCUUUUAUAAUACAGUUACCAGGGAAAUUAUAAUUAGUGAGUAAAUAGCUGCCUUUCAGCACAAAAUAGUAUCAGCCACCAAACGUUGCCUAUCGCAUUUCAGUAGUCUGGAGAAAAAAUAGUCCCCGUACGUGCACGUAAACCGCAUUGGGUCCCGCACCAUCUCAUUCAUUCAUAUCACUCAUGACGUCCACCUUAAUUGUCCGGUUGCGAAAGCUUGCAUUGCCCGAAACCGAUCAUUUGUGGGAUUUACGAACCAAUCAGAACGCUGGAUUUCAUCUACCCGUAUUAUAAAAACCAAUAAUGAAUACAUAAUGUAAGUAUGUGAUAUAGCCUAAACAGGAUACAGGCAACUACAUUCCAGAUUGAAAGGAUUCAUGAAGCUCAGAGCAGCAAACUGAAUGUGCCUUCUGCGAGGAACCCCAGUGAGCACAGAUGACUGGGGUGUGAUGACUCAGCGUUUAGCCCAACAAUGAUUUAGACAUGAAUAGAAUCCAGUUUUCUCCGUUUUGUUUGUUGAUGAAUUCAAAGGCCUCUUCAACUGUUGUAUUUUAGCAGCUGGUAAGAACACACACAUCGACGCACCCACUAACACACACACACACACAGGAGAAGGGGUCUAGACAUGAUGGGACUUGAUGUCGUGGGAGCUCUGUGGGAGGCAGAGGAGGACGAAGGAGAUGAAGGAAGGAGGGGGUAGAAAAAGUGCGGAAGAAGAGGAGCAGAAGAAAAAUAAGAUGAACUGUUGAGUCUAAUCGUCCAAUUUGAUUAAUAACCCAGCUUACAACACACACCUCCAAAAAAAGUGUAUAUUUUUUCCUAACGAGAAAGUAAAGAUACAGUGAUGCUCUGAUUGAUCACUGCCCACCCUGGUGGGCCCAAAAGGCUGAUGGGAAAGCCAUUCAUUUGGUCACAAAGCAAAAUAUUGGACACAUUUAGACCUGAUGAGGAGUCAGGGGGCCGGUAUUUCAAAAUGAUCCCACAGGAUUAAUCCUCCUGGAUUGGAUUAAAUCCUGAUCAGAUCCUAAAAACGGGUAUUUCAAAGCAAAUGUGAUCCUGAAGAUUCAGAUUCAGAUUUGGUAAUCCAACCCGCCUUUGAUCCGGAUAAAACACUGCUUGGAUUUGGACAUCCCAAUCUGCCGGUAUCAGGAUCACUCUGAUCCAACCCGGCAAAGUUUUGAAAUACCGGGAUAGAUCAAGUUGAUCCGUGGCUGAGGACAGGAUUUGGUUAUCCGGACCAUUCUGAUCUGGAUUACAAGUUUUGAAAUACCGGCCCCAGAGGAUCAUCAACUAGGAAAUGAAAUAAUAAUAAUCUUUGUCAUUACUCUUCCUCACAAUGAUAGCUGAUUCAGCCCCCUGUGUCGCUGUCUGACCCCAGCUGGACCCAGGAAGCUGCAGCUGGAGGUCAUGUUGUGUCUGGGAGGGGUCACAGGUCAGCAGGGAGCAGCCUCCCACUGAGCUCUCCCAGGACUUACAGUAGAACAUCCACCGGCCGUGUUCCCAACGCAGUCCUCAACUCUUUUCUCUUCGGAAAGACAGAAGGGAGUUCACAGUACGAGAUGUGACACCAACAAACCAGGUCCUUUCAUCCACUGUAUAGGAAAAAGGGAGGAAAACGUUUCUUUAACGUUCCAUGUUCUGCCAUGACAGAAACCUAAACCUCCCCAGGUGGAGAACAGCUGCCCUUCAUAUGUGUAUGUGUGUGUGGGUAGGUGUGUCGAGGUGGUGGUAGUAAAGUAAGGGAGGGGUAGAAGUGUGUCGGUGCAGGUGUCGGGGUGUAAAGAGGCGUGGACUAUGGGUCAGGUUGCCCCUUUGGGGCGUGUGUGUGUCUUUGCGCUCCAAUCAAAAAGGUGAUAACAGAUACUUAACCAGCAGGUGAUAAACCAUGAUCACACUCACACACUUGUGUGCCGAUACGUUCUCCCAGCUGGGUCUUCAAACCAGGUUCCCCUCUGGCAUAAGUUUUAGUGUCAUACGCUGUCCUUUCAAUAUAAAAUGUAUGUGUUCACAGGAAACAGUUUGGCAAGGUAAUAAGACUACUUGGGAAGUUCCAGGAAGCUUGUGGUUUAAAAAAGUAAAAAUAUCAAACAUGUGAUGCAAGUUAUUUAACUUUUGGUUUCACACUGGACCCAUCUUCUUGGUGAGGGUCCUGAAAGUCCUUGACCCAUCCACCCCGGACCCUCGGUAAUCCUGUUCAGGACUCCUCUCUUGGCCAUGAGAGGUGACCCCCGCUGAGAGGAAGAACUGUCAUCCACCUCUUUGUUUGAUCAAUGUCUCAUCCAGUAGAAGAGUCCUUCAGAUACUACCUCUGAAAGGCUGACAUUGGCGUAUGUGUGCGUGAAUGUGUGUGUGUGUGUGUGUGUGUGUGUGUGUGUGUGUGUGUGUGUGUGUGUGUGUGUGUGUGUGUGUGUGUGUGUGUGUGUGUGUGAAUGAGCGUUAGUGGACAUGUCCAACAGACUAUCGAGCAUAAUGACAGUUCAACAGUUCAACUAUCACUAACAAUCUCAGUGCUGGAGCUUUAUCACACACACGGAAUCCUGCUCACGGCGGUCUAACAGUCUGACCUGCAGUGAGUCUCUGUGAAGUUAAGGUGACUCACUGUCCAACCCUCUGAUACUCACACACGCACACACACCAAACCACUAACGCAUAUAAGGGCGCUCAAAAACACACACCGCAACGCCCUCUCUCCAUCCGUUUCUCUUGCUCUAACCACAGCUACUUCCUCGGUAAAACUGUUGGCUGAGGGGGGCAGGUGGUUAGUAUGAUUACACUCACACAACAAAACAUCCACAGAUGCAUGCUUACUACAAAGCGGAAGUGCCAGAUUAAUGCAAGAGUAAAUCAAUCUCUCCUGAGUGGCGCUCAAUGUCGGGGAAAGAAACUACUCCGGAGACAAAAAGUCAUCGACAAGGGAUUCAGAGAAGCACAUACCAAAACUGAAGAGAGAGGCAGAGUCACAAAGAGAUAAAGGAAGAUGUGGACGGUGACAGAGAGGAAGAGCGGAAGCAGAGAAGAAGUGUAAGCAAGUGAAGAGAGAGGAAGAGACGUCAAGUGGAUGUAGAAAGACGGAGAGAGUUUGGUGGAUUACUUUGCAUCUGAGUGACUGGUCGACUACAAACCCAAUUUUCUUACCACCUACCCAGGACCGUGACACCUCGGCUCGGGUAAGAGUACUACGCCUCUUCAUCUGUUGUGUGUGUUCUUUAAAGAACCUUCUUCUGUACUUGCUCUAUUACACACAAAUAGAACUUUCUGCUGUUGAAUGUGAUUCCCUAACACAGUGCUGACGUUGGACACCUCGUUGUCUGGUCACCCCCCUCCUCACUUUGUAAGGGGCAGAGGGGAAUCACAGAUGGAGCUGCGGAGCGUUUAACAAAGCCUGUCAACUGCCUGUUCGAAUUGAGGCACUGUGUCAAAGUAGUGUGGGCCCAUGAGAUAUUAGAGAAGAACAGAUUAUGUCGUGCCCUGUGUUAUUGUACUGUAUAUUUAAAUAUAAACUGGUACCAACUUUACACAGAACACAACAAAGUCCUCUAUUGGACACAUCUGUCCACCCCAAUCUCCCGGCUUUCUCUUCGCCUUGUUUUCCUGCAUGUUAGUUUAGUCUUUUUAAGAGCUUGUCAUUUCAUGUCUUUCUGCGAGAUCAGGCAAACUUUACCUCCAAAACAAAAUUUGCAUGUCACAGUGUUUGACAGACCACGUGGAAGGUGACCACUAUCUGCGUGCUACUUUUUACUUGUCCCUGUGGCUUGGUGUAUGCUGGACAAACUACAAGAGCUUUAGAGAUCUGCACAUCUGAACAUAAAACUGUAAUCUAUCCACGGCUCGUGUUCUGAGGAAGAGAAGAAAGAUCCUCCAUCCUUGAUUACUGGAAUGUCUCAUCUACUUUACGGCACUUGAAGGACGCAGUACUUCUACUUCCUGCACUUUUUGUUCUUUUACUGCUGUGUCUACCAUUCACAGAAAAUGUCGGCCAAUCACAGCUCAUUAUGGAUAGAGCAUGGUGUGAGUGCCUUCGAAAGCCCACUCACCGUAUUAUAUGUGUGCGAGAAAGCUAGGUGCUAGUUUAAGGUGCCAUGUUGUGAGGAGUAGUUAGCACGAUGGAACUCAUCCUGGAUGCAACGGUAUGCACUUAGUGAGCUCAGCUGCAGUAUCUAAAGUAUAAAAUGGAAAGCAAAGGAUUUGGAACGUGGCUACAGUCUGUCCCUCUGUCCUCUCUAUGCGCACCUUUCGCCAUUUCUUCAUCCCUGGACUGCCUCACCCAUUUAACCACCUGUUCCCUCUUCUCUAAUCAGCCUUGCGGUCACCUGACCCUCCCCUGCCACCUGCUCACUUGUCCCUACUCUCCCAUCAGUCCUCCAGCUCAAUUCAUGUUAACUGUACCUGCACGUAUGUCACCUUUACCUGCCUGCACUUUUGAUACUAAGUGAUACUGCCUUUUCCUCAGUCCAUGUUCGGCUACUAUUAUCUUCCUACAUGGCAAGCUAGCUACCUAGCUACGUUCAUUAAAUGUGGCGUCCUGGUCU
ensembl:lncRNA